UGGGGAAUAUUGGGCAAUGGGGGAAACCCUGACCCAGCAACGCCGCGUGAAGGAAGAAGGCCUCGGGUUGGUAACAUUCUUUUCUCCAGGAGCGAAGACGUGACGGUACCUGGAGAAAAAGCAACGGCUAACUACGUGCCAGCAGCCGCGGUAAUACGUAGGUUGCGAGCGUUGUCCGGAUUUACUGGGUGUAAAGGGCGUGUAGGCGGAGAAGCAAGUUGGGAGUGAAAUCUAUGGGCUCAACCCAUAAACUGCUCUCAAAACUGUUUCCCUUGAGUAUCGGAGAGGCAAGCGGAAUUCCUAGUGUAGCGGUGAAAUGCGUAGAUAUUAGGAGGAACACCAGUGGCGAAGGCGGCUUGCUGGACGACAACUGACGCUGAGGCGCGAAAGCGUGGGGAGCAAACAGGAUUAGAUACC
rnacentral:rRNA from 1 species